CCUCUUCUAUUUUUGAAUUUCUUCUUCUUCUUCUUCUUCUCAAUAAGUCGAAGCCUAUAGUGAUUGAGAAUACACCCACACAUGUCAAAGUAAUACCUAGCAUAGUGAAAAAAAUAUUGUGUAGUUCAUGCUGUCAACUGAAGGAGAAUCUAAAUUCAGAUCUUGAUCAUACUCUGCAACAGAAAGGAUCAAGGAUUAGAGAUCUGAACGAAAUGAGUCAUAAUAUUCCGCUGCCACCAAUUGCUGUGGUGGUUCUAUCCGUGGGUGUGGAAGAUGGAGGCUAUAAAAUACAUUUAUUCUUCAUUCUCUAUGGUUAUUUUGUAGUUAUUUUUUUUUUAUUUUGGUUCUCCUAAAAAUACAUUUGACGAGCUCACUAGAAAAAAAAAAUUGAGGUCUGUAGUUCUUUUAUAUUUUUCUAAGUGAUUAUAUUUGCUUAUUGUUUUACA